rnacentral:rRNA from 1 species
AAUAAGCUAAAUAAGAGCGUAUGGGGAAUGCCUAGGCUCUCAGAGGCGAUGAAGGACGUGAUAAGCUGCGAAAAGCUGCGGGGAUUGGCACAUACAAAUUGAUCCGCAGAUAUCCGAAUGGGGCAACCCAGCAUGUUGAAGACAUGUUAUCCGUAAGGAGGCGAACCCGGAGAACUGAAACAUCUAAGUACCCGGAGGAGAAGAAAACAAAAGUGAUUCCGAUAGUAGCGGCGAGCGAACUUGGAAUAGCCCAAACCAGUAUUGUUACGGCAAUACUGGGGUUGUAGGACUGCGAUAUUUGAGCUAUAAUGAAUUAGAACUGUUUGGAAAGACAGGCCAUAGAAGGUGAUAGCCCUGUAUAAGUAAAGAUUAGUAGAUAGCAGUAUCCUGAGUA